GCGUUAAUCGGAAUUACUGGGCGUAAAGCGUGCGCAGGCGGUUAUGUAAGACAGGUGUGAAAUCCCCGGGCUUAACCUUGGAAUUGCAUUUGUGACUGCAUGGCUAGAGUGUGGCAGAGGGGGGUAGAAUUCCACGUGUAGCAGUGAAAUGCGUAGAUAUGUGGAGGAAUACCGAUGGCGAAGGCAACCCCCUGGGAUAAUACUGACGCUCAUGCACGAAAGCGUG
rnacentral:rRNA from 1 species